CCAGGCAUCAUCCUAGCACUGUCAGAAUGGACCCUGGGGGCUUCAUUGGAAAACCCAUGUAGAAUAUGGACUCACUUAAACACAGACACUUCCUUAAAAGCUUUUGGUUCGAUGUGAAUGUGCAGGAUGGGCAUGUGAUUUGGAUCUGCCAAACAAAUGACUUCUAUCCCCCGAGCUACACCAUUUGGUUCAUCUGCUGGUCUUAUGUGACUCAGUCCUGGAAAUUUUGCUGGGCUACUGAUAAAAAGAAACUCUCCUUUCCCUGAGAUUAUCAUCAGCUACAACAGCUAUAAGGAAGACACAAUCCUAGAGCUGCCCAGGAACAAAGCCAACACAGGAGGUGGCAGAGUUGCUGAGAAGUAGAGAGGAGAAUGAACACUCAUUGCAUCCUUUGAGUGACCGAAUACAGUCAUACCUAAAGUCCAUGCCUUGAAUUUGGUAGUUUCAAAGAAAGCCAGAAGUUUCCUUCUAUUCUUAUGCAAGCUGAGUUGGGUCUCUGAAUCUCACACUCAAAAGAGCUCAUAGUAAUACCAUAAAUUCAACCACAUGUUUUGGAAUUGCAUUGACCUAGCCCGACUUGCUCCUGUAUUUUCCCAAAUCUUACUCAAGUGGCCUAAGAUUUACUAAUCUGAAUGGAUGGAACUGGAGAUCAUUAUGUUAAGUGAAAUAAGUCAGGCACAGAAAGACAAACAUCGCAUGUUCUCACUUAUUUGUGGGAUCUAAAAAUCAAAACAAUCGAAUUCAUGGACAUAGAGAAUAGAAGUAUGGUUACCGGAGACUGGGAAGGAUAGUGGGGCAUGGGAGGGCGGGGAAGAUAGGGAUGGUUAAUGAGUACAGAAAAAUAGAAUGAAUAAAACUUACUGCUUGACAGCACAAUAGGGUGACUAUGGUCAAAAAUAACUAUACAUUUAAAAAUAAAGGGUGUUAUUGAAUUGUUUGUAACUCACAGGAUAA
rnacentral:lncRNA from 10 species